rnacentral:rRNA from 1 species
GAGCGGUAGAGAGAAGCUUGCUUCUCUUGAGAGCGGCGGACGGGUGAGUAAUGCCUAGGAAUCUGCCUGGUAGUGGGGGAUAACGUUCGGAAACGGACGCUAAUACCGCAUACGUCCUACGGGAGAAAGCAGGGGACCUUCGGGCCUUGCGCUAUCAGAUGAGCCUAGGUCGGAUUAGCUAGUUGGUGAGGUAAUGGCUCACCAAGGCGACGAUCCGUAACUGGUCUGAGAGGAUGAUCAGUCACACUGGAACUGAGACACGGUCCAGACUCCUACGGGAGGCAGCAGUGGGGAAUAUUGGACAAUGGGCGAAAGCCUGAUCCAGCCAUGCCGCGUGUGUGAAGAAGGUCUUCGGAUUGUAAAGCACUUUAAGUUGGGAGGAAGGGCAGUUACCUAAUACGUGAUUGUUUUGACGUUACCGACAGAAUAAGCACCGGCUAACUCUGUGCCAGCAGCCGCGGUAAUACAGAGGGUGCAAGCGUUAAUCGGAAUUACUGGGCGUAAAGCGCGCGUAGGUGGUUAGUUAAGUUGGAUGUGAAAUCCCCGGGCUCAACCUGGGAACUGCAU